UUGAUGUCAUAAACACCAGGACCCAAAACAAUUAGGAGAGGAAAAGGCUUAUUUCAUCUUACACCUUUAGGUACCAGUUUAUCUGAGGGAAGUGAGCGCAGGAACCCAAGCAGAAGCAGAGGCAGAACUCUGGAGAGCAGUUACUUACUGGCUAACUCUCAGCUUCCACUCAGCUGGCUUUCUGACAUACUCCAGGCUUAUUAGCACAGGGAUGGCAUAGCCCACAGUGGAGUAGGCCCUCUUCCAUCAAUUAGCAAUCAGAAAAAAUGCCCCCAGAUGCUCGCACAGGCCAAUCCGAUGGAGGACAUUCCUCAAAUGAAGUUCUCUCUUCCUAGGCAUGUCAAGUUGAAAAUCAAGAUUAGCCAUCACGUCUGGUUACCUCGGCUCAGCACAAUGCUAAGCUGUCACUCUAGAUCGGCCCUGUAGCAACACCCACGACAACCUCUUAUGUAGGCCUUUGCCCCAGAAGCCACAACCAGGAGCAUGGUCAGCCUGAGGUUGGGGGUCUUGCCCCUUCCAGGCAUCAUCAAAGCCUGAGUACCAGCAAUCACAGAGUACCUGCCGGCAAAGACCCACGGAAGACCGGGGACCCAUUUCUGAUGACAAAACCAAAAAAGCCAGCACCAGCCACUUCCUGCCUGAGCUGUGCCCCCCACAGCGUUGGGGUACAGCUGCUGGCAGGGUGAAGGGGAUAGAGGAAGCCUGCUCCUCAGUAACCAGAUCUCCUGGCCUUGGUGUCUUCCCUGUUCCUUCUGGAAAUUUGCCCAGUAGAGUACCAGCAGACCAGGAGGAACGCUCGGCAGUGUGCCUGCUUCACGGUGGGAACAACGGAGAGACCCUAAAAUUAAUGGCUUCUCUGGUUGACUCAGUCACUUAAGUCAAGGAUCCAGGGGAGGGCAGGCCAGGCCCCUGCUGAGUGCAGGCUGGGUGGAUGAACCCCAAGUGACGUUAUUGAUGGGGAGCAUGGUCAACAGAGCAGAUGGUGAACUCUAAGGCUUCCGGCAACAUGGAGACUUAAAUUUUACCAAAGAUUCUGAAAUAUUUUCUUUCUGAGGCCGGAGAGACAACUCCCGCCCACGAUGAUGGCGAUGAGGAGGAAGCCUGGAAGGACCUGGAACCACAGAAGUUUGGUGUCUUCUCCGCGAUUAACUUGAGUUUGUCCAAAUCUGCCACUUGAUCACUGGAUCAAGCAAUCAGCUGGGAACCCAAGCACUAGGAGGCUGAGGCCCCUCCUACAGCUAUCGCCUGGAGGAGCCUAGCAUGUGUUCCAUACGUGGACACGUUUCCAGCGUGCGGGAGAAAACCAGACAGCAGAUAGUUUCUGCGCAGCAGAUUCCAGCCUCCGAGAUAAUUCUGCUCCCACCCCGUCUAAGAGCGAAUCACCUUUGGAGGAAUUCCUGAACCAGUAGUCGAGACCCUUGUGCUUUGUUACUCCAGCCUGGGACAGUCCUGUCUCGGUUUCCACUCGUGAAGGAUGUUCGGUUCUAGUUUCCUGGGAGUCUCUGAGACGCUUCCGGUCUUUUGCUAUUUUGUUUUUGUUUCUGCUGUGGUUCCAUCCUUGGAAGAUCUGCCUUUCACUAAACCUUGAGACAUCUUCUCAACUGGACAGGAACCCAGUGACUGAAGGAGACAAUAUGGAAGACGCUUCCAAAGAAAGACACCUUUAGCUGUGUAGAGGUCCCCGAGGUCUCACCUCACACUGAGAACAGCCUGGGUCGGCUCAAAGACCAGAGGAACUUGCCUUGCACAUCCCAAGCCUCUGCACCUUUGGAUUCAACCAAGGACAAAUGGGAACCAUUUGAACCGAAUUGUGUCUGAAGUGAAUGUUUAUGGCUCCCCCUUGCAAUUAUCCCCUAAAUAUUCAGUAAAACACACCAUUUGCACA